UUGUCUCUGUGAGCAUAACUCAGUUGGUAGAUACAAUGUUUUGAAAUAUGCAGGGAUUGUGGUUCCAACAUAGAAUUCUCCACUUAUUCAUAUGAAGGGUGGAAUUCUAACCACUAAAUUACUUAACCAAAAACCAUAUAUACAUUUUCAAUGAUACCAACAAUAUAUCAAAUAUCAUAUAAAUUUUCUUUUGAAAUAACACGAAUAAAAUAUAGCAUUCUUUAUAAGAUUUUUUUUAGGCUUAAUAGGUCAUUUGGUCCCUCAAAUAAUUUUCAGUUUUCAUUUUAGUCCUAUAAGUAAUAAAACUCAUGUUUUGGUCCCUCAAGUUCACCUCCGUAGGUCAAAUAAAUCCUUUCCGUCAACACAUGAAACUUCCGUUAGUUUUUGCCACGUGGCCAAAUCCUACGUGACUGAUGCCUUUCAUCCUCCUCCACUGUUAUGGUCACCAUGGAUGCACCUAACACUUCCCUCAAUCAUAACCCAGAACAACAACAAAUCCAGAAUAGCAACAUCAUGGAACACCAUUAACAAAUUCAAUUCAUAGAACAACAACAACCGUAAAGCAACAUCAAUUCAUAUAGAACAACAACAUCAAUUCACCAACCGUAAAGCUAAAAAAAUCAAUUCAUAGAACAACAACAUCAAAAAAUUCAUGGAUUGAAUUGAAACAACAACAACAUCAACACCGGAUUGAAUCGAAACAUGGCUAUGGCAGAAAAAAAAUUCGAAUUACAACAACAACAUCUCUGGAUCUCUUUCACCUUCUUCCAGAAACAUGGCUAUGGCAGAAAAAAAACGUGACUGAUUUCUUUAAGCUCACAUCUAGAACCCAGAAAAGGGUUUCAAGAGAGGAAGCGUAGGCACAUAACCAACUCAGAUAUGAAGGUUUCUUUCUCUGUCUUCAUUCUUCUUCUUUUUUUUGCUUUGAUUGCUGAAGAGGAAAGAUGAAAGAAUUGAAUGAUUCGAAUCUAGAAUUCGAAUUUUUUUUGCUUUGUUGUUUGGAUUCGAAUAUAAAGUUGAGAAAAGAUGUGACUAUGGUGGAAUGAAUGUUUUUAGGUGGGAUUCUCUGAAGAAGAAAUAGGAAAGAAUUGAGAUGAGGAAUAUGAUUAUGGUUGAAUGAAUGACUUUAGGUUUGAGUUGAUAAUGAUGGAGGUGAGGUUUAAUUUAUGUUGUUUAUUUUUCUGGAUUUUUUUCCUGGAUUUUUUUAUGAAUGUUGUUGAAUAAAUUGAGGGAAGAAGAUGAAGAAAUUGGAAAAAUAAAUAAAUAAGGUGUUGAUGGUUAACCGGAAGAUACAAUAGACUUGCAUGAUCCUACGAUCAUUUUUCUUAAAAAAAAGAUCAAAGGGUUAAAAUUGAAAAAAUUAAUAAGGUCUAUGG
rnacentral:lncRNA from 1 species